rnacentral:rRNA from 1 species
GACGGGGGGGGCAAGUGUUCUUCGGAAUGACUGGGCGUAAAGAGUGUGUAGGCGGUGCUCCAAGUCUGGUGUGAAAUCUCCCGGCUUAACUGGGAGGGUGCAUUAGAAACUGGAAUGCUAGAGGAUGGGAGAGGUAAGCGGAAUUCCUGGUGUAGCGGUGAAAUGCGUAGAUAUCAGGAGGAACACCUGUGGUGUAGACAGCUUACUGGACCAUUUCUGACGCUGAGACACGAAAGCGUGGGUAGCAAACAGG